rnacentral:lncRNA from 1 species
GUAGUGGGAGCUACAAGCUUCACAUGUUUUAACUUUGUCAGAGCGCUUUGAAAAAGUGGUCCGUGGUAUCUGGAAAGCUGAUGUUGCGUGUGAAGAUUACAGACAAGCUUUAUCCAAGGAAAUUUGGCUCUCGAAGUUCAAAGAGCGGUGCCUCUUCGGUUUUCGAACAAGCAAUCCUGUCGGGGAUCUGGCUCUCGAGAUUCAGAGAAUGCUGCCUCUUCGAUUUUUGAGAAAGAAAUCCUGUUAGGAGUUUGACUCUUGAGAUUCGGAGAGUAGUGUC